CGACGCGCAGAAACGGAGUAUCUACUGUUCUUCAAUAGUUAGUGUGAUAGUUAAGCGGGGAAAUCAUUGCACUCAAGCGACGUACACCAAAUACAGAUAAUGUCCCUACACAUGCCUCUCGCUUUAGGCAAAGUACCCGGUGAAAAAAAAAAUAAAAUAAUGAGGAGUUGAACGCAGAUCUAUACGGUCGUAAAUGCCAACCGAAUUAUUUUCAGCACCAGCCGCGUGAGGGAGCAGCGUUUGCGAGCGCGGAACAGUUGUGAGAUCGGAGGCAGACUGACGGGCGCCCUGCGCGACAUGUUAAAUGUUUAUCUAUGUGUGUUUUUCUUAGUUAUCAGCGCGUUCUGCCCCACUUACAAACUCUGUAUGAUUGAUAGGUGGUAGCGCACAUAAAUAAGCCUCAGAUAACGUUCUUCUGGCGAGAGGUUUUCUUCGGCGGAGCUCCCCCGCUCGAGACACCAGCGCAUGCCGAUAAAAACUCUGAGGUAGCAAACAUUCGGGCAAAUAUCUAUAUAUGAAUACAUGUAGGGGCUGAGGCAACUCUUUCACCAACUCCCUCCUUCAGUGGGCCCCUGGGUUUUAUCGUUUAUUUAGCGAUGGUUCUUUCGCGCACGCGCGCUCUUCCGUCGCUUAUCGGGCGUCUGAGAAUUCACGGAACAAGACACCAAACCCUAGUGGGCUGGGCUCUCAAGCUAUCGCGAGGUGAGCCUAACGAUGAUCUUUUUUUUUCUGUUGGCGACAUGAUGCCCUAUAAAGCUGAAAUUAAACGAGAAGAUAAAAUUCUGUUUCUUGGAUGAAGCCAACGAAAUUCACUGUUUGUAAACACCACGCAAAAUGCAAAAAUUCAACGGCCCCAUUCCGUAGCCUGAGCUCGUUCUCCUCUUUUCUCGCAUUGCACAACUCAAACUGCAGCACUGUUGCACCUACGCAAUUUAUGGCACGCGCAAUCUUUCGCGUUUCCCGUUUUUUUUUUAUUCAUAGAUAGACCUUUCUUGUUUCCUGAUACUAUGUGUCCGGCUUGAAUAGAGAAAAAGAAUGAAGUACCAUGUCACAGCUAGCCUAUGGCGGCCAGAAAAGAAAAAAAAAAAAGAUACAACGAGCAACUCCGGUGAAAAUUCUAAUUAUCAUUCGAUGUCGAAACAUAUAAACAAACAUUUAUGCAAAUGACAGGGAGGAAAUGUACAGAAAUCAGGCCCUGACAGCUUGACAAGCUAACUGAAGCAUCCGGAAGAUUACGCUGUUAGUGCUACAGCUAGACUACCGAAAUUAAAAAAAAAAAAGCGUGCGUUUUUUAAAGAGAAUUCACUUUUUUAAGCUGUAACUUAUUGGUUAGUUUCGUCUCCAAUGAUUCUUUGCUAAUACGCAUUCUUUAUUAACUGCAGCGUACUCGAACCCCCAAGUGAGUGUGACCCUGUUGUAAUAAAUACCAUAGAAGAAAGAAAAAGAAAAUCUAUUGAGAUAACAACAACAACUGCCACUGAGAGGGGCAGAACAGGUAUUCGAGGCUACGCUUUUCGACGGCUGCAAACUUGAUCGCCACGCAUCCAAUCAGAUCCGUCGGCGCAGCGGCGUUCGUUAUCACGACCGCGACGCAUCCAAUGAGAAGUCGAAGACGGCGAAUCGGAACAAAAUGAAAGCCGAGCGUACAUAUAUCGGGAAAAACGAGUCCUCGACUCUCUGUGCGACAUACUUUACGGCGGCGCGCGACGCUGCGGUGUACGUGACAAAAAUAAACAGAAGAAACCGUCGCGUGCGGAGUAUUACAAGACGAUGAGAUGGGCGCUGAGCCAGUAGAGAUGCGAGCACCGGCGACCGAACCAGUUUUCAAGAAAUAGAUGCCGCCGUCGCCGCCACGACUUUCUUGUAACGCGCUUCCUAUCGGACGCUGCUAUGCUCCGAGCCCGCGAAGUAGAAAAAAGAAAGCUGAAAAGACGGCAGUAGCAAAGACGACGGCGGGGUGUCGCCUAUAAAGUCGUAGUAGAAGCCCAGGUGCGUGAGUGUGUGUGUGUAUAUUUCUCUCCGUCGCAAUCGAAACAAUCAAAACGACCAAUCAAAAGGGAUUACGAGGCGAGAGAAAGGAAAAAAUGCCCCUCUCCCCCCUCACCCCUCCCCCCCUCCACCCUCCUGCUGACUCCGAGGUUGUACUGGAGAAAAAGGAUAGUAUCAAAACGUCGUCGUCGUCAACUGAGGGACAGUCGGCGGGGUAAAAAGGUAAUAAAAAAAGUAAGACUAGGAGAGAAGAAGGCGUGCCCUUCCCUUCUCCUUCAUUGCGCACUCUUUAUGUUAUUACUCGUUCGUGUAUCAAUGUUAUACGUGACAGGCCGAGCCGUGCCGAGGCUGGCCAAUCACGUGGAGGCGGCCCAGCCGCGAGCAACCAAUCAAAAUGGAGAGUUUCUUUUUCAAGAGACGCGAGCGCCAAGAACGAUCGAGAGGUAUAUAUUUAAGGCGUGAUGGCGGUCCCUUUUCGUGUUUUUGUUGAUUUCUAUUGCCAGUUCCCCCUCGCGUCUUUUAUACAAGCUGUUUUUUAAUCCUAGGGUACGCAGUUUUGUGAUCUUGGUUGUACAUUUCUAUUUUGCUGCGUAGAGAGAAAUCAGAAGUGGCGAGACAAAGCUGGCGAUAGUCUGUGGGUGACUUUCUCGUUUCUAAAAACUUGUUUUUUUUUUUCGUUUUAAUGUCGCAUAGCUGGCCAAACAAGUUAGCAGGUGGGUAGUCUGUACACGCGCUGGGCGCGCAGACUAAUCGCCUUCUUUGGGGACCGACGACAUUAAUGAAUGAAUCAAUCAAUCGAAAUAACGGAACUUCAUGGAGAACAUGACCUGAGGUCGCGAACAAAAAAUAAUAAUCCCUGCCCGGUGCCCGACAACUUUCGAUUUCAACUUGUUUGUUUUUAAAACAUCCUUAACACUACGCUUAAUGUAACAGGUCUUCCUACUCAUUUAUGCGAAAAAACGGCUUUCUUUGACAUCCGCGUAGUUGGGGAUACAGGCACUUGCGACACAGUUUUUUUUUUGUUAACAUUUAUUCUUUCCAUUUCCUGUACAUGGCGCACUACGCUUAUUUCGGUUUAUCGCAACACACGUGUGAACCCUCCCCAACCACGCCACGGUACACAGAACACACACCAUUUAUGUACACAUUAUUCCCACACACCCCCUUUUUAUGUAUAUCUCCUAUUUAUUACAUUUUUAUAUACCACGGCAUUACGUCUCGAGUUAUUGUCACACAUUUCUUUCCCACUUCGUUUUGUGUGUUACCUUUAGAUCCCUGUACAUAGUUUCGUGCUCCCAGCCCGUUUCUCCUUGUUUAUAUUCUAACACUUUGUUUAUUUGUUUGUUUGUUUUUUCAGUGCGAGAUACCUUAGGAAUGUCUGCGCGCGAGACGUGCCCACAUUGUAUUCAAGCUCACUACGUAUGUAACCAUCGACCGUAAAAAAACCACGACGCGGCUAAGUCGAAGAAACAAUUUACGGAAAUCAACACGCCAUUAGAGUACACGAAGUAACGAAGGACCACGUACAAAAGGUGUACACGUCGAAUAGUAGGAGAAUCGGCAAAGUCACUCUUUUUUUUUUAACCUCAUUGCCUAUUUUAUUCAGUGUUCCUCGCGGCGAGUAGGUGCACAUUUUUUUUAAACGCCAUCUCCCCGAUUUCGUUCCUCAGUUUAUAGGAUUCCACAAUUGUGUGUUUGUGUUACGGUCUGUAGUAGCAGUAGUAGUUAGUGGUGGUACUGGUAGGCACGCCAUCUAGUCUUCACCUACCAAAAGAGCAAACGUAACUGUUUGAAACGCAUACCAGCAUACUUUUCCGAUCGCUCGUAGGCUUAACUAAAGAACGCGCAGCACCCGCUGUAUACACAGGCUACAACGUUACGCCUCCUAUAUCUGCCCCGUGGCCUCCGCGAUCGGCUCCGGCAGCCCGCCGCUGCCGGAGCCGAUUGCGGAGGCCACAAUAGGUACCGCCUGUAAGUUACACCCCCCUUAAGCGCGUGCUUAAGAAUCUUCGCUUGGCUGACCUCACGAAUGACCUGAAUGCGAAAAAGUCAUGGCCACGACUGUGUCCUACCUGCAAUGCUUGCUAUCUUUUCUUUGAAAAAUUCGUGUUCUUCGAGCGUUGUGGCACUUGCCUAAAUACCCGCAACGUAGCAAACGCGACACGUUUAUCAAACGAACAUACGCUUUGUUUUUCAGAAAAUGCUACCGUACUUUCUGUUAGCUCCCGAGUGCUUCGAUAUUGAGAGGAUCUAUGAUAGCGUGUACAGAGAAAGAUUUUUUUUUCUUUUAUAUAGGUUCGUAUUGUUGUCUGCCUUGCUACACAUAUACUAUCCGGAAUGAUACCCCUGUGAACAUUUUUUUCCUUGCUACAGUACCGCGCUGUAGCGCCGACAGCGGUGUUUUGUGUUAUGUACAAGUUUUUUGUCUUCGUACGAGCACUUUUGUUCUUGAGCAUUGAGUGCAUGUGUUCAUUCUUGAUUUCACGUUCUGUUCCUGCGAUUUGUUUGUCGUGUCGUAACUCUGUUCCUGGUUUGCUCGCUCUGGACGUUGUACCGUAGGAAGCACGCUAAAGCGAUAAAAGGAAGACUUGAAUGCGUGCCUGCAUUUUUUUGUUGUCCAUUUAGUUCCAUGCCCGUAUGUGUGUGUUUGUAUGCUUGUACUGUGACAUUUUUUUUUGUGACUUCGAAAACCUGACGGUGCAUCGGACAACGUGAACGGUUUUUGGCUGUAGUGCUUUUCUUUUUUUCGUACGUUGUUUUGACUGUGACAGAAUCAAAAACAAGGACCAACAAACAACUCGCGACAGGUUUUCUUAUUACUAUUAAUAUUAUAUUAUUAUUAUUAUUAUUGUCUGUCUGCGAUCAUAUGUAGUAUUUUCACGAAUCCCAGUGCACUUCUGUCUCCCUCAUCUCUAUUCUCUUCUUUAUAUUUCUUUUCCUGCGAUAUUUCCUUUGUUCGCGUUCGUUCCUUCAAUGUGAGAAAGGACGGCGUGAAACCCCACAGAGAGUGUUAUAUACAUAUUAUACAUAUUUUUAUAAAUAAAAUCGUCGCAUUGAAGGAAAAAAAGAAGAAAA